AGCUGCGUAUGCGCAGUGCGCACGUCUGCGUCAAUCUCUCAUAAAUCAUGAUUUUGCGUGUGGCCUGCGUCGUGCGCAAUCACGUGCGUACCACACCGUAAGUUGCUGUGUUCUUACCAAAAUAAAUAAAAAAUGCCAUCGUGUGUGUUUCGAAAGUGUACCAAUUAUGACUCUAAAGUAAACAAAAUACAAGGGAUCUCUUACCACAUGUUUCCGAGUGAUCAGGUCAGACUACAAGAUUGGAUAGCAAUUGUUCGUGAACAAAGAAGCGAACUGGACUGGACACCAUCAAAAAGCAGCAGAAUCUGUAGCAAUCACUUCAAAAGUACUUACAAAUAUGUUUCGGAAAAAGGACGAACGUUACUAAAAAAUAAUGCUGUUCCAUGUAUAGAGGAACAACAAAAUCAAUAUGCUCCGAACUCUCCGUCGAGUCUAGACAAUGUCAGUUUGCCAGAGUUGGAAGAAAUUUUAGAAACACCAAGAAAGUCAGCGCUAAGACAACGUGUGCGUAAAUUAACAUUUAAAAAUAUCCAGUUACAGAAAAAAAAUAAAAUUCUUACACAAUGUAAUAAAAGAUUGAAGAAAAGAUUAGCUAGUCUUGCAGUUAUAAUAAAGGAUUUAAAGAAAAAAAAAAGCUAUUGUUGAAUGUAAAUCUAAAACCGGAUUUUUGGGCUUUCUAAUUUGUAUUCAGAGUUUAAAACACCUUUUCCUAACUCAUGUAAUUUUAUAAUAGUAUAGUUAGUUUUAUAAUAUCAUUGAACAUACGUAAUUAUCUAUAGAAUAUAGUAGAAAGUUUGUGAUGAAGGAUAGAUGGAUGUUUAUUACCUACUCUGUCCUAACUAUUGCAUCAUCCAAUAAUUGCUGAACAGAUUUUGAUUAACAAUAUUACUUACUGUAAGUAUAAAUUUGGUAAGUAGGUAGGUUAAAUUAUUUUGCAGACAAAGACAUUGGAUAAAUAAAAGAAAAUCGAUAAUA